rnacentral:rRNA from 1 species
UACGGGGGGGGCAAGCGUUGUUCGGAAUUACUGGGCGUAAAGGGCUCGUAGGCGGCCAACUAAGUCGGAUGUGAAAUCCCCAGGCUUAACCUGGGAACUGCAUCCGAUACUGGAUGGCUUGAAUUCGGGAGAGGGAUGCAGAAUUCCAGGUGUAGCGGUGAAAUGCGUAGAUAUCUGGAGGAAUACCGGUGGCGAAGGCGGCAUCCUGGACCGACAUUGACGCUGAGGAGCGAAAGCUAGGGGAGCGAACAGG